GCUCUCGUAGCUCAAUCGGUAGAGCGCUCGCCUGAUAAGCGAGAGGCUGGAGGAUCAUAUCCUUCCGGGGGCA
rnacentral:tRNA from 1 species